rnacentral:rRNA from 1 species
AGAGUUUGAUCCUGGCUCAGGACGAACGCUGGCGGUGUGCUUCACACAUGCAAGUCGAACGGAGUAGCAAUACUCAGUGGCGGACGGGUGAGUAACACGUGGGAAUCUACCAUUAGGUGGGGAAUAACAGGCCGAAAGGACUGCUAAUGCCGCAUAUGUAGGCAUCUCGACAGAGAUGUUUAUGAAAGGAGUAAUCCGCCUUUUGAUGAGCCCGCGUCCGAUUAGCUAGUUGGUAGGGUAAAAGCCUACCAAGGCGACGAUCGGUAGGUGGUCUGAGAGGAUGAUCACCCACAAUGGGACUGAGACACGGCCCAUACUCCUACGGGAGGCAGCAGUGGGGAAUUUUACGCAAUGGGGGAAACCCUGACGUAGCGACACCGCGUGAGCGAAGAAGCCCUUUGGGGUGUAAAGCUCUGUCAACAGGAACGAAACAAAUGACGGUACCUGUGGAGGAAGCAUCGGCUAACUACGUGCCAGCAGCCGCGGUAAGACGUAGGAUGCAAGCGUUGUCCGGAUUUAUUGGGCGUAAAGAGUUCGUAGGCGGUUUGUUAAGUCUGAUGUUAAAGACCGGGGCUCAACCUCGGAAAUGCAUUGGAUACUGGCAGACUGGAGUGCAGUAGAAGCUAGUGGAAUUCCCAGUGUAGCGGUGAAAUGCGUAGA